rnacentral:tRNA from 1 species
GGGCUGGUAGUUUAGUCCGGUAGAAUACCUGCCUUGCAUGCCUUGCAUAUACAUGCAGGCAGAGGACACGUAGGUGGUCGUGGGUUCGAAUCCCACCCAGUCCA